GAUGAACGCUAGCGGCAGGCUUAACACAUGCAAGUCGGCGAGAAAGUUAUCUUCGGAUAUGGGUAGAGCGGCGGACGGGUGAGUAACGCGUAGGAAUCUACCUAGUAGAAGGGGAUAGCCCGAGGAAACUCGGAUUAAUACCGUAUACCUCCUUCGGGAGAAAGAAGGCCUCUCAUUGAAGCUUUCGCUACUAGAUGAGCCUGCGUAAGAUUAGCUUGUUGGUGAGGUAAAAGGCUCACCAAGGCAACGAUCUUUAGCGGGUCUGAGAGGACGAUCCGCCACAUUGGGACUGAGACACGGCCCAG
rnacentral:rRNA from 1 species